rnacentral:misc_RNA from 1 species
UUGAUUCUAUUUUCAACUCGGGAUGUCAAUGUGUACUUGGCUAUCGCUCGGUCACACCGAUUAUCGCCUAAAAUUUUUUAGUCGAUUACUUGUUAUAAAAUGAAAAAAAAGAGAAGAAAUCAUUUUAUUUUUAAUGCUGAAGUUUUGGACCACAUGUACUUGAUAAGAACCAACUAAUUCCUUUAAUCAUUUAUCUACUGGGUUAGAUGUUUGUAUAAUCAACAGUUUAAUCAUAUCAAUAAUCAUCUCAAACCGUUCGUUUUUAUAAUCAUUAAUCUUUAAUUGUUGAUAGGCACGAGGCAAUGACAAAACAUGGAAUAUGUUGAUACUAUAUGGAGCUCAAGUAUGUGCAGACCUCCCACAAAAAAAACCCCAAAAAACAAAAAAACAACAACAACAAAACACUUAUCCCUUUGAACAUUUGCUUACGGAUACUUGAUAAAACACUUUCCAAUUUCUUUCAAAUACAUUGAGCACAUGUAAGUUUUUAAUUUUUUUUUUUUUGAUUUGAGAAAAGAUGUAGCAUUUAAUAUUUGAUCUGAAAAAGACACGAAUUUUCAAAUAAAUCGAGGAGUACUCGACUGUUGCUCUACUAAAGCCCUCGAUUAAUCGGUUUCGGGCUCGUUCGUCUUAUCUACCUGUUCGCCCGAUUCCGUUAGCUCUAUUUAUCAUUCGCUAAAGCAUUGACAUCCCUAGUUUCAACCAACAUGACAGAUAAUUUAGAGUUACCUGUCCUUUAUCAAGGUACUUAUGUUUUUUUGAGAGUUGAAGAGAAAAAAGUAAUACAUUUACCGUAUGCAUCUGAACAUAUUAGUUACUUGAAAAGUAGCACAUCUCUGUGACAUAGAACUGCAAAUUCAGAAUUGCUUAAUUCCAUAGGCAGUAUUAGUGUUGAAUGAAUUGAAAUUUAUGUGACCUCUGAAUUUUUCAUGCCCGAGUUAUGGGUACAUUCUUGAAUUUUUUUUUAUUGACACAAAAAUGCAUUUAUACACGUAUGUAUUUGUGUGAGCACCUGCUCGUAAGCAAUACAGUAUUAUAUUUCAUUUAUUUUGGCACAUUAAAUAUUUUUAAGAAUUGCUUUAUCAUUGUGAGAAGUGUUCACGUAUGCUUCAAGAAGAGGAGACUCAGUCUUUCAAACAAUUUAUUGAAUACCCAUUUUCAUUCAUAAAUGUACAUACUGAGCAUCAAUUUGAUUGUAGAAAUUGUAAAAUUGUGUUUUUGUUUCUGCUGCCAAUAAAACAGACUGUUAAAGUACCAUUUUCUUUUAUGUAAUACAUGCACAACAGUUAAAAAGUAUCGUUAACAUGAACAUAAAUAAAAAAAAAUGUCAGCAUAGAAUUAAUUAUUUACAUGUUUAUCCAUCGUAUAUGAUCAUUGCUAUACUUGUUCAUGGAUCAUGUACCCGUCUGAUUGCCUUAACUUUAAAUGGCUUUGGAUGCAGUACAAGUCCGAGGUCGUAGGAGCGCGGGUCAGGGUCAGGCACAGCCUCGGAAUCGUCCGGAACAAAGGUCAAUCUCUGUAGUAGCGCCGUCACAAACAAAUACAGACGGUUCUUGGCCAACGACUCUCCUAAACAUACUCUUCGUCCAGCUCCAAAUGCAAGCAUCCUAGUGUGAAAACGAAUUGGUGGCCAAGUUAACAUAUGGAGGAAACACAUCUUGAAAAUUCACAUUAAACUAAAGUUUAUAAAUUUCAUCGACCGCUCUAAUGAUCCACUAUUUUCUUUCUUUUUUGUACAUAUUGUGGUUUUUUAAAGUUCAAUCACUCUAUUGAUAAAAUUGGGACGCGUGACAUGCAAAUAUUACUCACCUUUUUCUUUUCGGAUGCAACGGACUAAGAAUUGCGCCGUCGUUGUCAAGAAAACGACCUGGGUCAAAUUUCCAAGGAUCGGGCCAAAUACAUUCGUCAUGAUGCAAUGCCCACAGGUUUAUGUAAAUCUGAAUUUAUUAAAAAUUGAAACAUU